AGCAUUUGUAAAGAGAGUGCACUCGCAAAGCACAGGCAAGGACCUGGUACCAGGGCUUCUCAACUAACUGCACGAUCUGACUGGCGCUCAUCAACUCUGCAUAACCUAGUUCAGCACAUGACAUCAAACACACUGAUGGAACACCUCAGCAUGUUUUCAGUGUCAUUCCUUGACAU